GUCUUUCAGGCACACAUCAAGGCGAUCGGUCGGUCGGGACACACGGAUCCGUUGAAGAAGCAGGCACGUCGCCGUCGGGUGCGUUGUUGUGGACUGGAUCAGUCUCGGGCGCAUCGUCGACCUGGAAGGUGGCCGCGAGUUGGCGCACCUGCGCUAUCAUGUCGGCUACUCCAGUAACAGACUCGAGAACGGACGCAUAUUGGUCAUAGACAGCGCGCACCGGAUCGGCCUCGCCGCUGGCCGCCGCAUCGUCGAUCAUCUCGGUCAGAUCGUCGCGCACCCCAUGCUCGUAAAGCCAGCGCGCUAUAUCCAGCCGCUCGGUCACCAGCGCCACCGUGACGGCGCCGCAAUCUCGUCCACUCGCAUUGUGCGCGUCUAGCCACUGAAUGAUGUCGAGUCGACCGAUCAUGGCAGCCAUCAUCCAGUAAUUGUUAUGCGCGCGCGGUGUCGGGCCGUCGAGGGCGAGGCCCCGCGCGUGUAUCUGCUCCAUGGCAGCAAUGUCACCCUUGAGCACGGCGUUCACAAACUCGGCGUGCAGAUUGGUUCGCGUGCCAUCGUCGUCGGUCGGCCGUAUCCCGGUGGUCCCGUCGGUGACAUCAGAGCCAUUGUCGUCGAUGACAUCGCCGUCGAUAUAGGAUGCGAAUGGACCGCCGAUUGUGUGCUCCUCGGCGCCAUUUGGACCCGCGCGCCGCGCGAGGUAGGCGGCGACGUACGGGUAGCCGGAGGCCUCUGCCUCGUGGAUGGUGGGGCGGGUGAAUCCCUCGGUACGGUUUUCGCACAGGAAGCGCACCACGGGCAUGUGGCCUGCUACGGCCGCGCUGUCGAUGGCCGUCGUCGUGCAGCCCUUGGCACAGUGUUGGUGAAGGAAGGCGACCACAUCAAGGUGUCCGCCAGCGGCGGCGCCAUCCAUGGCGGCCGUGGUGCAGCCUUCGGUGCGACAUUGGUGGAGAAAGGCGACAACAUCCAAGUAGCCACCGAUGGCGGCCAAAUCCAUAGCGGUGGUCGUGCAUCCGUGGUCGCAGUUGUCGUGCAGCCAGCGCACGACGUCCAGAUGGCCGCGCGCAGCCGCGCAGUCCAUAGCCAUUGUCGUGGGCAUCACGCCCGCCACACGCACCAGCCACACCACAGCCUUAAGGUGACCGUUGCGUGCGGCUACGUCGGCGAGCGACAUGGUACGACGGCUGGCAUUUUCUGCAUCAGACGGUGCGCCAAAUGCAAGAGUCAUGACGACCGUGCUGAUGAUUUCUCCUGCGGCCAUCGUGGACCGCUUGGUUCUCAAUCCGCCUGCGAGCGCAGUAAAGAGCGACGCGAUGUCGAGUGUCUCUAGGAUGUCAAACGGCGUGCCUACGCGACGCAAGAAUGCGAGCACGUCGACGUGACCCGCCGAGGCGGCCGCCUUGGCGCACGCGGAUCCCAUGGCCACGCCGCGGCUGUGCAAAAUCUCUAGGGCCUCGACGAGGCCGACGGCGCAAAAGUGCUCGGGGGUCUUGUCGCCACGCCACCUGUCGGCGCGCUUGGCCAUAGUCUCGUCAGAGUCGGCGCGGAAGCACCGGUGCGCCGCGCGUGCCCGGCACAGGUCGCGGUCGCCCAGAUGCGCCGUGAUGGCGGCGAUCACUUCGGGCGGCAGCGUGUCGAUCCCGCUGUCGCCUGGUGUCGGCAUUGUCAUCGCCAUUGUCGUCGUUGUUGUUGGCAGUUGGAGUCUGUGUGCCUUUUUUCCUGCCUACUCUGCGCCAGCGUCGAGGUGAGCACCGACCAAAAAAAAUGUCGGCCAGAGCGCGCUCACAGAGAGGAAAAAAAAAGUUGCAC
rnacentral:lncRNA from 1 species